CCUACGGUGGGCAGCAGUAGGGAAUAUUGCUCAAUGGGGGAAACCCUGAACCAGCAACGCCGCGUGAAGGAUGAAGGUUUUAGGAUUUUAAACUCCUUUUGUUCGAGAAGAUAAUGACGGUAUCUAACGAAUAAGCCACGGAUAACUACGUGCCAGCAGCCGCGGUAAUUCGUAGGUGGCAGGCGUUAUCCGGAUUUAUUGGGUGUAAAGGGCUUCUAGGCGGGAAAGCAAGUCAGCAGUUAAAAUUGAGGGCUCAACACUGAACCGGCAUUUGAAACUGUUUUUCUUGAGUGGGCGAGAGGUAAGCGGAAUGCGUGGUGUAGCGGUGAAAUGCAUAGAUAUAAGGAGGAACGCGGAUGGCGAAGGCAGCGUGCAGGAGCCUAACUGACGCUGAUGCGCGAAAGCGUGGGGAGCGAACAGGAUUAGAUACCCCUGUAGUC
rnacentral:rRNA from 1 species